UACGGAGGGGGCGAGCGUUAUCCGGAAUUAUUGGGCGUAAAGGGCGCGUAGGCGGCUGAACAAGUCAAAGGUGAAAUCCCUCGGCUCAACUGAGGAACUGCCUUUGAAACUGUUCGGCUUGAGGCCGGGAGGGGGUAGCGGAAUUCCCAGUGUAGCGGUGAAAUGCGUAGAUAUUGGGAGGAACACCAGUGGCGAAGGCGGCUACCUGGACCGGUUCUGACGCUGAGGCGCGAAAGCGUGGGUAGCAAACAGG
rnacentral:rRNA from 1 species